rnacentral:rRNA from 1 species
UGGGGAAUAUUGCACAAUGGGCGCAAGCCUGAUGCAGCCAUGCCGCGUGUAUGAAGAAGGCCUUCGGGUUGUAAAGUACUUUCAGCGGGGAGGAAGGGAGUAAAGUGAAUACCUUUGCUCAUUGACGUUACCCGCAGAAGAAGCACCGGCUAACUCCGUGCCAGCAGCCGCGGUAAUACGGAGGGUGCAAGCGUUAAUCGGAAUUACUGGGCGUAAAGCGGACGCAGGCGGUUUGUUAAGUCAGAUGUGGAAUCUCCGGGCUCAACCUGGGAACUGCAGCUGAUACUGGCAAGCGUGAGUCUCCUGGAGAGGGGUAGAAUUCCACGUGUAGCGGUGAAAUGCGUAGAGUUCUGGAGGAAUACCGGGGGCGAAGGCGGCCCCCUGGACGAAGACUGACGCUCAGGUGCGAAAGCGUGGGGAGCAAACAGG